AGGAGAGCAGAGUUGUCCAAUGAGCGUCUUUUAAUAGGCAAGUCCACAACAAAAAAAGACAGGUACAAUACCAAUGACAACGCCCACAACAAAAAGAGAAUACAGUUACUCACGGAAGGAGGAAAAAACAACGCUCCUCAAACUUAUACACAAUCGGUAUAUACGUGAAAUACACUGAGGCACAACCUCAACGAGCAAUCUGAGACAAAUAAUCCCGCACAACACUAAGCAGGCAACAGGGGUAAAAUAUACACACAGAAAUAAAGCAAAUCAAAACCAGGUGUGGAAAAAACCAAAGACAAAACAAACGGAAAAAGAAAAAUGGAUCGGUGACGGCUAGUAGGCCGGCGACGCCGAGCACCGCCCGAACAGGGAGAGGAACCAUCCUCGGUAGAAGUUGUGACAGGGAGUGGUCUGAGUGGGGAGUGGAAAACUGAAAACUAGCUGUUAUUGGCAGAGAGUGUGUUCACAGCUCUCCCUGCGCUGUGAGUCUUGUGAGCCAGGCUACCAGAGAGCCUGGAGCUAGAGGAUAAGUGCACUAACUCCUGUGCCAUAAAGGCUCGGACCUCUUGGCACCAUUGUCCUAUGGUUUGUGUAGAGCAGCCCUGAGAUGAACUGGGACAACCAGCUGAGCUCCAUCUUCUCAGCAGCUGAUGGCAGCGUGGCCAAGAUGAGGCCCUCCACCGCUGUUCUCCCCCUCCGUGAUGCAGUGGGCAGACCUGGCAGCCGUCCAAUCACAACUGCAGGUCCAGGCCCUAGAGUCUCCGACUCAGUCUUCAUGACAUGGACAGAGGGAGACACUCAGCAGUGCCACAUACAGGCACUACAAGAUGAGAUUCGCUGGCUGUGAGAGCAGGCGAUGGAGAAAGAGCAGGAACGAGAGCGGGAUGGAGAGAGAAGGUCAGGGACAGUGAGUCUGGGAGUGGAGAGGAGGAGAGAGCAAUGGAGGAGAGAGGAGGGCCGUGAGCUCAGCACUUUAAGAAGGCACAUCACCAGAGCCCACUAGAAACGACCUGGGGAAUAGUUACAGCGAAGAGGAGGGGGGAUGAAUCAGCCAAUUGUAAGCUGGGAUGAUUAGGUGGCCAUGAUGGUACAGUAUGAAGACCAGAUUGGGAAUUUAGCCAGGACACCGGGAUUAACACCCCUACUCUUACGAUAAGUGCCAUUGGCACCACUGCCCUGGGGCAUUGGGAUAAAAAAAAGAAUUUGACCAGAGGAAAGGGUGCCUCCUACUGGCCCUCCAACACCACAUCUGAACUGCAAAUGGAGGAGUUGGAUCAUCUGAGGAGAGAGAUGGACCCACUCAAACUCUGCUCUCAGUAUGCGUGUGACAGGGAGGCAUGAGGAGGACAUGUUUCUUCAGCAGUCAGAGGCCAAAGAGAUGAGGGGCCAGUAUGAACGCAGCGGCAAGGGCAUCUGUAUCAGAGCUGAAGGACGAGAUCAGGAGUCUGAUUCUCAAGGAGAGACAACACCGACUUUUACAACACGCACAGCAGGCAAAAUACAAACACACAUACUCACCUGAGUGGUUUAACCCUCUGUUUCUCUUUAACCUGCUUUUUGGCAAUUCAUAUAUGGAGCUACUAAUACAGGGGUGCAAAUUAACUACCAUUCAACUCAACUCAAAUCGAACCACUUGGUUUCAACUAUGACUUUAGUCCCGUUGAUACAGAUGAGUGGCAUGACAACUAACCCCUUGACUUGCUGGUCUGCAACCAACAAAUCUGUAAACUACAGGGCGGUGUCCCAAGCAGGAACUCUAAGUCAGCUAACUUUGAUAAACAUUCAGAAAUAUAAAUAACUAUUGCUAAUUAGUUAAAGGUCAACUUGUAUGUGCUGUUGUGAGUGUUGAGUCAGUUAAACCAUUACUAUUUCUAUCUAUCUACCAGUAUCUUUAUGAAGUCCGAAAUAUGAAGUUAUUUCAGAAUAUUUAGGAGAGUUUUCUGGCUCCCUUUGAUCCUGCAUUGUGACACACACAGCUAGUCUCCCCAAUAAGGUGGGGGUAGGGAAGGAACGUGUAGUGGUGUUCUUCUUUCCUUUGUGUCUCACACACACACACACACACACACACACACACCUCAGUAUUCACCUCCCCUGCACAUGGACAGGGGAGUAUCCUCCAUCACAUCAUCCUAAACAGGGGAAAACGCAACAGGAUAUCAGCAGGAACACGAGUAAACGCUGAACGGUUAGCACUGAUCCAGAUGACAGGCGGCAGGUCCUGGAGCGUGUGGAACUCAGGCCGCUGGUCCCGUCAUUGCAGUUUAAUGAAAUGGAGCAGGGUGACGAUGGCUGCAGUGACGAUGAAGGCUGACACUAGUCCAGCUAGGAGAGGGUCCAGGGCAGGAGCGCCAUUAUGGAACACUGGCUCCCCUGCUGAGGUUAGGGGAACAUAUACUAUAUAUUCACACACAUAUACAGUAUAACAUACAUUGAGUGCAUAAAACAUUAGGUACACCUGCUCUUUUCAUGACAGACUGACGAGGUGAAAUGAUUUUUAAGCCUUGAGACAAUUGAGACAUGGAUUGUGUGUAUGUGUGCCAUUCAGAGAGUGAAUGGGCAAGACAAAAUAUGUAAGUGCCUUUGAACAGGGUAUGGUAGUAGGUGCCAGCUGCACUCGUUUGAGUGUGCGAACUGCAACGUUGCUGGGUUUUUCACACUCAACAAUUUCCCGUGUGUAUCAAGAAUGGUCCACCACCCAAAGGACAUCCAGCCAAGUCAACAUGGGUCAGGAUCCCUGUGGAACGCAUUCGACACCUUGUAGUCUAUGCCCCGACGAAUUGAGGUUGUUCUGAGGGCAAAAGGGGGUGCAACUCAAUAUUAGGAAGGUGUUCCUAUUGUUUUCUACACUCAGUGUACUAUAUUAACAUUAAAUAUACCAUAUUCUUUCAUAUAAACACAAGCUAUUAACAAGUUCUACUAUAAAGACAACAAGAAGAAAGAACCCCACAGGAGACGCGUCAUAAUACCCGUAAAACCUACCGGUCAAACACGGAAAUGGUUCCAAUCUUCUUUCCACUAUUCAUUUUCACAUUGUGGAUUUUAGAAACACUUCAAAUUAAGUAUGUUUCGUAUAAGCUUACCUUAAGUUUUGAUAACUGUGAAAUUCUCUCUCGGACAAGGUGAGCUAAUCACUCUAUUCGCCUCGAUUUGCUCUCAAAAAUUCCAAAUACUAAUUAGCAACAGAGAAGACCUCAGCAAGACUACAAAUUCCGGCAGGCAGCUCCUGCAUGUCAUCUCCAGCCAACACUGUCAGUUACCGUUCACCAGCACGCUAUCAGAGACCUUUUGUGCCCAAUCCAUGAUGAAUCCAUGCGCUGUACUGAAAGUAAUUGAAUAAAGUUUUGAACUUCUUA
rnacentral:lncRNA from 1 species